rnacentral:lncRNA from 1 species
AUAUUGCUAUGGAAGGAAGUGCUGGAAAGGGAAGGGAAUGGUCCCUUUAAAUGAUACAGAAGUGGGGGAAGGGCGUUGGUCCCUGGCUAGGGCUCCACCCCUGGGCCCCUGCCCUGGGACCUAGGUGAGAACAGGCCCUCCUGCCUUUGCACCCAAAUGUUGUGUUUCCCAAGACCACCCUAGCCUGCCCUGCCCCCAUCCUGUGCCUAUAAAAACCCCUGACACCCUAGCAAGCAGACACACAGGCAGAUGGACAUGGAGAGGAAUGCACCGACAGGCACCAGCAUGCCAGCAGGCCACCGACCAGGAGAACUAUCCUAUACGGAGUUUAGCUGGGGCACUGAGUGGCCGGACUCCAGUGGAAAACCUUCCCACUCCAUCCCCUUCUGGCUUCCUCCAUCUGCUGAGAGCUACCUCCGCUCAAUAAAACCUUGCACUCACUCUCCAAGCCCAGGUGUGAUCCGAUUCUUCCAGUGCACCAAGCUUGCUCACCAAUGCUGAUGCUUUUCUGCAAAAUCUUUAAACGGAACAGACGAAACCAGUGGACGUGGCAACUUAACAAAAAUCAUUUGGGGUCAGAUGCUAUCGUGUAAUACCCACAGAAAUGAACAGGCCCCUGAGAGUUAAGGUGGAGUCCUAGAAGAGUACAUAAAUGGAAGUCUCACCCCCUCAAGUGGAUUCUCUGUACUGUAGCUGGCUCAAGAAAGGAGAAGGGGCUUUGUCAAGUAAAACUGGCUGAUUGCUUUCCCUUCAGUCAUCAAACUGACUAACAGUAGAAGGAAAACCAGGCUUUUGAUUUUGGACAAACUCAUAUACGGAGAGAACCACUUUCAAAAACACAGUUAAAAGAGCCUAUUGAUAACUCCUCUGGGAGUUAGUCUUUAUACAUCCAUCUGUGGGACACGCACAGGCAGAAUUGUGGAAUAUCACCUCAAAAAAGAAAAAUAAGAAAGCAAGAUCAGGAGAAAUGAGACUGGAGCAGAACUGUCAUGCACUGAUCAUCUCUGUGUGGAAUGCAAAAAUGGAUAUGGAUAUUAAACUCCAGGAGAUGUUAUUUGGGAAAGGUGACUGCAAGAAGUCAAGCUAUUCAGAGACUAUACCUGAUCAUGAACAUUGUUCUACCUGUAAUCGUGCUGAGAGAAUAAUAUACUGGUGAGGGUGUGAGGGUGAAAGUAUUAUCACAUUUGCAAAGUAUAAUGCAAUUUCUCUCUCAUGGAGUAAAACUCUCCCUCUCUCUCUCUCUGUCUGUGUCUCUCUCUCUUUCCUACCUCCACUGUUCUAGUAGACCUUGACAUUCUGAAACUGGCCCAACUGUCCCAUAGAACUGAUGUUUAUGGUUUCUUUGAAUAAACACAGAAAUUGAUCCUCCUUGUCUUAAAACUUGAGAAAGUUACAUUUGUCUUAUCUGAGUUCUUCUCUCAGGAAACCAACCAUCAGGCCUCCCAGGUAGUAUCAAGGAGCUGAAACUUACCAGAUAAAGACAUCUGGACAAUGAGAAGCCAGACUACUUACCCAUCAUGAUUGCCUAAUUGACAACUUGCUUCCUGUUGACCACUUCCUCUUCCUCACCUCCUCUUCUUUACCCUUCCCUAAUUCCUGUUUCCUUACACCUGGUUACAUUUCUUCCCUCUAUAUAAACCCCUACUUUUAGUCAUCAGAGAGAUGGACUUGGGACUGAUUGCCCAUAUCCUUGGCUGCAGCACCCACUUAAAGCUUUCUUCACUGGCAAUAUUUGUUGUCUCAGUGGAUUGGCUUUUUGUGUGGAGAGUAACAGGACCUGAACCAAACCUCGGCAUUUUGGUAACAGAUUUACUACAGAAACAGACACGGUUUGAUAGCCUGACUCCUAGACUGAUCUUAGCAGUUCAGGACCAUCAGGUGCAGAUUUCACAGGCAGCAUGUGCCCUUACCAAAGAUGUCGAAUUGGGAGAGAUGUGUGUUUCAUAGCAACCAGGACUCCACCUUGAUCCAGGUACAAAACACUGUGCUCUUCUUCAAAGAUCUGGAUGAGGAAAACACAUACAUGGACACACAUCCACAUCCACACAUACCCAGGCUUCAGAGAAUCAGUCUUCACAUGAGAACAAAAAUCCUUCCCAUGAUAAAAAUAGGUUUCCCUAAAUCUUUGCGAAAAUAAAGCUAUAGAACAGUUCUUCCCAACAUGGGCUAUUAUACCAUUGGUGUUGUACAAAAUAAUUUUAGGUGUGUAUAAAAUAAAUUUGAACAAUGAAUAUUUAUGGGUUCAUGCUUAGAUUCCUUCAUUUUCAUGAUAAUUUCUAUUGAUUCCCAGUUAUGAUGAUGUCAGAAUAUUGGUUAACUGUCAUAUAUUAUACAUCUCUAGACAGAGGGAACCUUAGAAAUCAUUUACUCCAAUAGUCUCAUUUUCAUAAAUAAGAAAUCUAAGGUUUAGAGAGAUGUGGUAACUUGCCUGAGAUCAUGCAUACAGUAAUGGAUAGAGCUUGGACUUGCUGCAUUACAGUGCCCUUUCCAGAUCUUAUUAUUUUGAAGUUUCCAACUGUUAUCAAAGAAAACUGUUCUUGUUUAAUUAAUAGAUGUUCCACCAAAAUCAUGGUGAGUUCUGUUGUCAUCUUUGGGUACAUGUGUCAUUUGGUCUUUCUCCAAAUGUAGAGAAAGAAAUUUGAAGUCAAAUGGAGACACAAUGGAAACAAUCUCUAGAUCCUUUCUGUAUAAGAUGCAUGCUGUUUUCUCGUCAGAUUAUUAGUGUAGCCUUGCCUGGAGUUACAUUACAGACAAUCUUCUUCCAAUUUGUUUAUUUCUUAUACCCAAGAUGCAACCCAAGACUAUAGAAGUAAAGACUUCUUUGCCUUGCUUGCGGUGUUGGAAAGAAGAAAAUGGGAUCCUGGCUCUCUAUUCUCCAGAGGAAGUUUACUUAGAAUAGUCCAGGUUUCUACAUACCUCCAAGAUCAAUUGCUAUGGAGUUUCUUAUGCAAAUUUCUUCCCUUCCUCCUCCGCUCAAAAUAUCAGAAUCCCACUGAGGAUCUAUAGAGGGUCUGAAGCUAAGAAAUGGCAUUUGGAAUAUAAUGUGGACACCUCUGACUAAAAUUUAAAGGAGAGUGCUCUCAUCACUAAGUGUGAUUACCUGUGCAUUAGAUUUCAAUUUACAGUGCUAGUUAUUGUAU